AUUGAACGCUGGCGGAAUGCUUUACACAUGCAAGUCGAACGACAGAACGGACUUCGGUCGGGUGGGGAGUGGCGAACGGGUGAGCAAUGUAUCGGAACGUGCCCAGGCGGGGGGGAUAACGUAGUGAAAAUUACGCUAAUACCGCAUACGAUCUGUGGAUGCAAGCGGGGGAUCGCAAGACCUCGCGGGAUUGGAGCGGCCGAUAUCAGAUUAGGUAGUUGGUGGGGUAAAGGCCCACCAAGCCAACGAUCUGUAGCUGGUCUGAGAGGACGACCAGCCACACUGGAACUGAGACACGGUCCAGACUCCUACGGGAGGCAGCAGUGGGGAAUUUUGGACAAUGGGCGAAAGCCUGAUCCAGCCAGUCCGCGUGCAGGAUGAAGGCCCUCGGGUUGUAAACUGCUUUUGUACAGAACGAAAAGGUUUCUACUAAUACUAGGAGCUCAUGACGGUACUGUAAGAAUAAGCACCGGCUAACUACGUGCCAGCCGCCGCUGUAA
rnacentral:rRNA from 1 species